rnacentral:lncRNA from 1 species
UUCGAUAGACGGCCACAACAACAAAUUAUAAUGCUGUGGUUAGAAUGGCAGAACAUACAAGGGUGUUCUGUCAAAAUGUCCAUGGCUGGGAACGUGCUGAUGAUGGCGAAGGAACGGGUGCACCAUUGGUUCACCCAUAGCGCAGGAGUUCAGCUGCACAGUCCGGCGCCAACAUUCCGCGUUGGGUGCGCCAAAGCGCUACGACAAACAACCUGAUAACAUUACAUCAAGCCAGACAGUCCAAUUGGAAUGCUUUUGAGUCGACUUGGACAUCUGCGCAAGAAUUGCUCCUAUGCACUAAUGUGCAGAGAUACGUGGAGUUGUGCCACAACAAAACAAUGAAGACUGCAAAUUUUCUCAGAGUUGUGCAUACUGGCUUGGGAAUGCGGUGCGGCAUGAUGCGGCCAGCAUCUUCGCGCCUUGCAACUU